AUUGAACGCUGGCGGCAGGCCUAACACAUGCAAGUCGAGCGGAGCGGCGAACGGGUGAGUAACGCGUGAGUAACUGCCCCCCUCUCUGGGAUAACAGUUGGAAACGGCUGCUAAUACCGGAAAGUGGGGGAUGACUCGCGUCCAAUCAGCUUGUUGGUGGGGUGGUGGCUUACCAAGGCGACGAUGUGUAGCCGGCCUGGGAGGGGGACCGGCCACAUUGGGCUGAGAUACGGCCCAAACUCCUACGGGAGGCAGCCGUGGGGAAUAUUGCACAAUGGGGGAAACCCUGAUGCAGCAACGCGCGUGCGGGAUGACGGCCUUCGGGUUGUAAACCGCUUUCAGCCAUGACGCGGUAGUGGCAGAAGAAGCACCGGCUAACUACGUGCCAGCAGCCGCGGUAAUAC
rnacentral:rRNA from 1 species